rnacentral:rRNA from 1 species
UACGUAGGGGGGCAAGCGUUGUCCGGAUUUAUUGGGCGUAAAAGGCUUGUAGGUGGCCACGCCAAGUCGGAUGUGAAAUCUCCCGGCUCAACUGGGAGGGGUCAUUCGAUACUGGCGGGCUCGAGGCCGGUAGGGGGAAGUGGAAUUCCCGGUGUAGUGGUGGAAUGCGUAGAUAUCGGGAGGAACACCAGUGGCGAAGGCGGCUUCCUGGACCGGUUCUGACACUGAGGAGCGAAAGCGUGGGGAG